rnacentral:rRNA from 1 species
UAACUGAAGAGUUUGAUCAUGGCUCAGAUUGAACGCUGGCGGCAGGCUUAACACAUGCAAGUC